rnacentral:rRNA from 1 species
CCUACGGGUGGCAGCAGUGAGGAAUAUUGGUCAAUGGGCGCGAGCCUGAACCAGCCAAGUAGCGUGAAGGAUGACUGCCCUACGGGUUGUAAACUUCUUUUAUAAAGGAAUAAAGUGAGGCACGUGUGCCUUUUUGUAUGUACUUUAUGAAUAAGGAUCGGCUAACUCCGUGCCAGCAGCCGCGGUAAUACGGAGGAUCCGAGCGUUAUCCGGAUUAAUUGGGUUAAAAGGGUGCGUAGGGGGAUGUUUAAGUCAGGGGUAAAAUGUACGGGUUCAACCCGGGCCUGCCGAUGAAACUGGGAAUCUUGAGUGGGCGAGAGGUAUGCGGAAUGCGUGGUGUAGCAGUGAAAUGCAUAGAUAUCACGAAGAACUCCGAUUGCGAAGGCAGCCUACCGGCACCCGACUGACGCUGAGGCACGAAAGCGUGGGGAUCGAACAGGAUUAGAUACCCCGGUAGUC